rnacentral:rRNA from 1 species
GACGAACGCUGGCGGCGUGCUUAACACAUGCAAGUCGAACGGAAAGGCCCUGCUUUUGUGGGGUGCUCGAGUGGCGAACGGGUGAGUAACACGUGAGUAACCUGCCCUUGACUUUGGGAUAACUUCAGGAAACUGGGGCUAAUACCGGAUAGGAGCUCCUGCUGCAUGGUGGGGGUUGGAAAGUUUCGGCGGUUGGGGAUGGACUCGCGGCUUAUCAGCUUGUUGGUGGGGUAGUGGCUUACCAAGGCUUUGACGGGUAGCCGGCCUGAGUGGGUGACCGGCCACAUUGGGACUGCGAUACGGCCCAGACUCCUACGGGAGGCAGCAGUGGGGAAUAUUGCACAAUGGGCGGAAGCCUGAUGCAGCAACGCCGCGUGCGGGAUGACGGCCUUCGGGUUGUAAACCGCUUUCGCCUGUGACGAAGCGUGAGUGACGGUAAUGGGUAAAGAAGCACCGGCUAACUACGUG